UCCCUGGUGGCUCAGAGGUUUAAGCGUCUGCCUGCAAUGCAGAAGAGCUGGGUUUGAUCCCUGGGUCGGGAA
rfam:Ovis aries breed Texel chromosome 3, whole genome shotgun sequence.